GUCCCUGUAGCGUAAUGGAUAGCUUGUUGGACUUCUAAUCCAAAGGUCUUGGGUUUGAAUCCCACCUGGGAUA
rnacentral:tRNA from 1 species